rnacentral:rRNA from 1 species
GAUGAACGCUAGCGGGAGGCCUAACACAUGCAAGCCGAGCGGUAUCUCUUCUUCGGGAGAGAGAGAGCGGCGUACGGGUGCGGAACACGUGUGCAACCUGCCUUUAUCUAGAGGAUAGCCUUUCGAAAGGAAGAUUAAUACUCUAUAAUAUAUUAAUUGGCAUCAAUUGAUAUUGAAAACUCCGGUGGAUAGAGAUGGGCACGCGCAAGAUUAGCUAGUUGGUGAGGUAACAGCUCACCAAGGCAAUGAUCUUUAGGGGGCCUGAGAGGGUGAUCCCCCACACUGGUACUGAGACACGGACCAGACUCCUACGGGAGGCAGCAGUGAGGAAUAUUGGUCAAUGGGUGCAAGCCUGAACCAGCCAUCCCGCGUGAAGGAUUAAGGUCCUAUGGAUUGUAAACUUCUUUUGUAUAGGGAUAAACCUACCCUCGUGAGGGUAGCUGAAGGUACUAUACGAAUAAGCACCGGCUAACUCCGUGCCAGCAGCCGCGGUAAUAC